GAUGCCUUUUUAUUUAAAUACAGUACCAGUCAAAAGUUUGGACACACCUACACACACAUUCAAGGGUUUUUAUUUAUUUUUACUUUUUUGUACAUUGUAGAAUAACAGUGAAGACGCAAACUAUGAAAUAACACACAUGGAAUCAUGUAGUAACCAAAAAAGUGUUAAACAAAUCAAAAUAUAUUUUAGAUUCUUCAAAGUAGCCUUUGCCUUGACAACUUUGCACACUCUUGGCAUUCUCUCAACCAGCUUUGUUAGGAAUGCUUUUCCAACAGUCUUGAAAGAGUUCCUACAUAUGCUGAGCACUUGUUGGCUGCUUUUCCUUCAUGGUCAAACUCAAUUGGGUUGAGGUCAGGUGAUUGUGGAGGCCAGGUCAUCUGAUGCAGCACUCCACUCUCCUUGGUCAAAAAUCCCUUACACAGCCUGGAGGUGUGUUUUUGAUUGUUGAAAAACAAAUGAUUGUCCCACUAAGCGCAAACCAGAUGGGAUGGCGUAGCGCAGCGGAACGCUCUGGUAGCCAUGCUGGUUGUGUGCCUUGAAUUCUAAAUAAAUCACUGCCAGUGUCACCAGCACACCAACUCCUCCAUGCUUCACGGUGGGAACCACCAUGCGGAGAUCAUCCGUUCACCUACUCUGCGUCUCACAAAGACACGGCGGGUUGGAACCAAAUAUCUCAAAUUUGGACUCAACGGACCAAAAGACAGAUUUCCUCUGGUCUAAUGUCCAUUGCUCGUGUUUCUUGGCCCAAGUCUCUUAUUAUUGGUGUCCUUUAGUAGUGAUUUCUUUCCAGCAAUUUGACCAUGAAGGCCUGAUACACUCACUCUCCUCUGAACAGUUGAUGUUAAGAUGUGUCUGGUACUUGAACUCUGUGAAGGAUUUAUUUCUGGCUGCAUUUUCUGAGGCUGGUAACGCUAAUGAACUCUGGGUCUUCCUUUCCCAUGGCGGUCCUCAUGAGAGACAGUUUCAUCAUAGCGCUGAAUGGUUUUUGUGACUGCACUUGAACAAACUUUCAAAGUUCUUAAUUUUCCGCAUUGACUGAGAUUAAUGUCCUAAAGUAAUGAUGGACUGUUGUUUCUCUUUGCUUAUUUGAGCUGUUCUUGCCAUAAUAUGGACUUGGUCUUUAACCAAAAUAGGGCUAUCUUCUGUAUACCACCCCUACCUUGUCACAGCACAACUGAUUGGCUCAAAUGCAUUAAGAAGGAAAGAAAUUCCACAAAUGAACUUUUAACAGGGCACACCUGUUAAUUGAAAUGCAUUCCAGGUGACUACCUCAUAAAGCUGGUUGGGAGAAUGCCUAGAGUGUGCAAAGCUGUCAUCAAGACAAAGGGUGGCUACCUAGAAGAAUCUCAAAUAUAAAAUAUAUUUUGAUUUAACACUUGUUUUGGUUACAUGAUUCCAUAUGUGUUAUUUCAUAGGUUUGAUGUCUUCACUAUUAUUCUACAAUGUAGAAAAUAGUAAAAAAUAAAGAACCCUGUAAUGAGUAGCUGUGUCCAAACUUUUGACCGGUACAGUAUAUGUACAGGUCAUUUCAGCUCAUUUAUGCAUAUUGUUCAAUUUGGACGUUAAAGCAUCACUAAUAAACUACAGAACAAAGUUCAGGGAUGGGUCUCAGUGUUUUCCUCAAUUCUUUGCUUCUCAAAACCUCCGAUGGAAGCAAGGAGAAGGACUUGACGAGUCAAGGAAACUACUUCCGAGAUCUACCCAAAGGGAGGCGUGGGGUUAGAGGGAAAUAUUCUGAAGUAGAGGGUCACUUUGUUGAACAGGACUCCCUAAUCUUCUACAAACAUUAGAUUCCAACAAACACUUUCUUUUCCAGAAUCUUAACAAAGGCAUGUACAAAUAAAGAAUUGCAUUCACCUCAUCUUGUUUUGCGGUAGAAAUUGCAAGACUCGUAGUUUGACGCUAAUUGUUUUCCUUUGCUAUACUUAUUCAGUGUAAUCAUGAAUAAUAUUGUAGUGAUAGCAUGGUAAUAACUACCAGUAUGUUUUGGUGAAGAUAAGAAUAACCAGUUGUAAGGCUGACUUUGUCUUAGCAACAUAAAUGCGUGUGUAUACUGGCUGGUUAUUGAUACAGUGCCUUGCGAAAGUAUUCGGCCCCCUUGAACUUUGCGACCUUUUGCCACAUUUCAGGCUUCAAACAUAAAGAUAAAAAAC
ensembl:lncRNA